rnacentral:miRNA from 1 species
UUUCAGUAGACGUUGUGAAUA